GAGCUUGUAGCUCAGCGGAUAGAGCAUAUAGCUACGAACUAUAGAGCCAUGGGUUCGAAUCCCCUCUUGCUCA
rnacentral:tRNA from 1 species